CCAGGGUGGAAGGAGGUCCAGACCAUAGACUGUAUAUGGUCCAGACACUGAAGGUUGCUUGAAGAUCAUGGAGGACCGAGAAGCAUUUAAUUCCAGGCCAAGAAGAGUUGCUGCCAGGUUUCAGUCUCAGCCAGUCGUUCAGUCAAGCUCCCAGUUUGAUCUACCAGUUUACAGCGGUGCUUCUCAGCUGAGCCCUCAGAAAGAUGCACACGCCUCUGAAGACCAUGACCAAGCGGAAGAGGUGCUACUUUCUAAAGGAAGUGACAGACUCAGAAUGGAGAGGACUUCCGCCCCCAAACCCAAAGAUAAACUUGUUUCCUUUGACCUCCAGUUGGGAGAUGAGGAUGAAGACUCAGAUGAUGAGGCAACCGUCUUCUCUCUCCCUGGUGUGUCACCUGGUGAAAGCAUAACCCUGGAUGAAGAGAACAUCCACGACCAGAUCAAGGACUUAGAGAUUGAAGACAAUAGCACAAAGCCUGAAGUCUGGCAGAGUGAGUGGCACAAGAAACACAUGGCAGCAAUAAGUAGUGAGAAGUUUGACAGCCUCCUGAAGAUGUUUCCUGAAUUCCACGACUCCAAGAGCAACAUGGCGGCAUUUGUUUUGAUAAGGGAAGUGUUGGAUACUUCAGGUCAACUCUGUGAGCAUUACAAGGUGGUGGCAUUGGGGGAUGGAGGUUCAGGCUGCAACCAGCAGCUUCGCUACAAUGGGACGAUGGUCCAUGACUGCAACGCCAUCAUCAUCGCCAGGCGGGCUCUCCUAAGGUUUCUGUACAAACAGCUUCUGCUCUUCUUUGAUGCUGAUCCAAAUGCCAAGGAGAAGUGUAUUUUUGAUAGCAGUGCAGAAAGCCAUCAGCUUCAGCUCAAACCCAAGAUCAGCCUGCACCUCUACACCAAUCAGUGUCCUGAAGGAUCCGCUAAGGACUUUUGCUUCAAGGGCUCUGUGAAACACUCUUGGACAGCAAUGAAGCUGCUGUAUCACGCCAAGGGCCAGCUGGUCCCUAUAGCCUACCUUGAACCGAGUUUCUGGGGAGCUAAAGUCUGCUGCAUGUCCGGUAGUGACAAGCUGUGUCGCUGGUCUUUCACUGGGGUUCAGGGUGCAUUACUGAGCCACUUCAUUCAGCCACUCUACAUCACCAGCAUGGUGCUAGGGGGCCAGAAGCUCGUUAAUGUCGAGGGGUCUGAUGUCACCGACGUGGAUGGUGAUGGAUGGGAAGAGUUUCUUCCGCCAUCCUACAAGAAACACAAGAUGGUCUGCCUCUGUGGCGACUACGUGGGGCCUGGUGUGACCUCCUCACAGAACCUCAGCAUCAACUGGUGCCUUGGCGACAAGGAUAUUGAAGUUCUGGACAGUAGCAAGGGCUACAUUGUUGAUGGCUCUCCCUUUAUUAGUGGGCCUGGCUUUUCCAGCAGACUCUGCAAGAGAGCCUUCUACAAUUACUUCCUCCGAGUUGCAGAGCUGAGCGGGCACAGCUAUCUGCUGGAGCUUCCCACCUACCACAGCGUCAAGGUGGAAGCUGAAGUCUACCAGACGGUCAAACUUCUGGUCAAGCAACAGUUUGUAAACAUCAACGUAGGUCCGUUGAAUUCAAAAGAGUUGGUGGAUUGCUUUCAUGCUUGAACUCUUUUUUUUUUUUCUUUCUUUCUUCUUCCAGAAAAUUGCCAUGUAAAAGUUUGUCCAAGUUCCUUUUGAGAUUUUGUUCAAUGUUGUUCUGUGAACAAAACAUCCUUUAAAGUAAUUUGAUAUUUAUUUGCAUGUAUAGCGUUGGUGUUGUUUUCUGUUUGUGUAGGUGUGAAAAAUAAACUGGACCUUACCGCACCACAGUGAAGUAGUCCGUUUGAAUGAGUUGUGGGUGGAAACAUGCAGCUUCUGGGCUAAAGCUUCAGGAAACAUUGUCCUCGUCCCUGUCAAACAGGACUGAGCGACAUUUUCACCGUGUCGUUGUGUAGCCAAAAGGUCAACAACACAGCAAGUUGUGUUAAGGUGCUGAACGAGGCCAUUAUGAAAAGACUGGGUUCAUUGUCACCAUGGCUCCACUCACCAGUUGCUUGGCAACCAACUCCUCCUUGGAAUUGAUGCAACCACUCAUGUCUUCAUAAUUAUAGGCUCUUUUAUAAUAUUUAGCAAAAAACAAAAAAAACUGUAGAAUAGUAUUGUAAAAUGAUCCAAUGAAGGUGGAAUGCAAUGGUGCUUUUUGGCAAAAUGUAUCUACACUGAUUACACAUCUCUGAGUUUAAGCUGCUGGGGUUUUUUUGGUAGUUGCAGUAAUUUGCAUGUCGACGUGUAAAUGUGUGAUUCAUCUUUGCUCUUGCUGGUCGAGCAGGUGAUUCCUCCAGCCAGGUUUCGGGUUCAUCUCCCUCUGAGCAGCGGGGCCUCCUGCCCGAGCCGGGCUUCUCUGGGCUCGAGGAAGAAUCAGGGAAUUCACAAAAAGGCCUGAAAGAUUCGGCCUCUUGCAGGACGAGUCCCUCUGGCUGGAGUCGGAGGAAGCGGACGUGCUUUCCGUGGAGCUGGACUUGACUGAGUGGACCGACGGCACCGAUGCUCUCGGAGGAUUUGAGUUGGGUUUGGCCACAACUCCAGCCGAGGCCGAGUGGCUCCACUCUGGAUGGCA